rnacentral:rRNA from 1 species
UACGUAGGGGGCUAGCGUUGUCCGGAUUUAUUGGGCGUAAAGAGCGUGUAGGCGGCCAGGUAGGUCUGGUGUGAAAGUCGGGGGCUCAACCCUCGAAUGCCGGUGGAUACUGUCGGGCUAGAGUACGGAAGAGGCGAGUGGAAUUCCUGGUGUAGCGGUGAAAUGCGCAGAUAUCAGGAGGAACACCUAUUGCGAAGGCAGCUCGCUGGGACGUAACUGACGCUGAGACGCGAAAGCGUGGGGAGCAAACAGG